UUGCUGGCGCAGCGCAGCGGCGACGCUCGAACCUGGUCAGGGCCGGAAGGCAGCAGCCAUAAGGGAUGAUCGUUGGGUGCCGCUGCUUACCGGCAAUGCU
rnacentral:SRP_RNA from 1 species